rnacentral:rRNA from 1 species
AAGACCUGAAGUAGACCAGCAAACCCGCUGAAUUUAAGCAUAUAA